rnacentral:lncRNA from 1 species
CAUUACUGUAGAAACAUGUAACAGUAAGAAAACCUUUUUUAUUUUCCUCACAAUAAUUAUGUAGAUUUUUGUUUCCUGUCUACAUUUAAAAGUCUGUGGUUUCUUAGGAAUAGGUAAAAUUUCUUUCUUUUGACAAAUGUGCCACAGAGUUUUUCAAACAGUAAUUUUGGGUGUUCAUUUUAUUUUUACUUAGGCAAGUAUGUAUUAUAUAUUCAUUUCUCUAGAACCAAAUAAGGUGGUUCAAAAAAUCCGGUCCCAGUUAAGAAAAUGUGAUGAACAGUAGGAGUUAUGAGUUGUUGGGGGAAAGAGAUGUCCUGCACAGACAUGCACGCUAGAGAGUCCAUCUGGAGAAACAUUCUUUAGGGUCAGCAUGACCAGGAAGAGCAUUGGAAUGUGAUCUUGUCUAUUAUGAGUCCUUACUUUGGACAUUUGUCUGUAUGUUUUAAUAUCUACAUAAUUUUCUGUACAAUGACUGCUCUUAAAGAAAGUGGAAGUAUAUUGGCAUACAGUCUUUAAGCUGUGAAUCAUAAGCAGUUAAAAUGUGCAAGUGGGCCGGGGAUUUAGGUCAGUGGUUUCGGUGCCCGCUGCACAAGUGCAAGGACCCAAGUUCGAUGCCUGGUACGAAAACAAAAGAAAAAUGUAUAACCUAAUGCAUUUAUGUUUUCAAACAAAAGGGCUUUCUGAGAGUAGAAGCCAAACAGUGAUAUCAUCUCUCAUCCUUUGCGUUUAUAUCUCCCUGCAUUGUGCACCCCACGUAAUAGAGCAAGAGGAAGAAAUGAGCCUCAGUGAUGUUUGGAGGGAACACAACUGUGUUUGCCAGUGACAUGAUGGUCUGUUUCAAAAUCCCAAAACAUCUGUAUGAACACUCGGAAUUAAAAAGCUGAGUUUAGUGGGUUUAGGUGAUGAAGUUAAUAAAUGAAAACAAUCAAUCAUAGUGUUAUAUAAUAAGAAUGAAAAAUUAGACUUUGAGUAAAUAAUUCUUUAGCAUUUUAUUGAUGUGAUCACAAAUUUAUGUGAUGCUCUGUGCUAAUCCAGUAUAUUUACACAGUGUAUGAUGGUCAGGUCAUGGGAGUGAGCAUUUCCAUUUCCUUGUGGAGGCUUUGAAAAGAGGAUGAUCUGAAGAUGCUAUGGAGAUUGCUAGAACGUAAGGAGGGUGACGGGGAGGGGCUAAUGGGGUUCAGGUAACAGCUGCACAAAUGUGUUCAGGAAGAGACAGCAAGCAACUGUGGGGUGAUGCCAGUUCACGGGUACCUGUCAUACUUUAUGAAUAUUUCAUGAAUAUGGUAUCAGCACUUGUGGCUUGGGGUUCUCCUGCUUGUGGCCAUUGCUGGUCUUCUCCAUUAGGUUUUCCUCUUAGAGGAGCAGGUUUGAAGUCUCCCUGUGGGAAGUACACUCCCCCCGUCCCCUGUCCCUUGUUCAGAGGAUGCAGGUCCACUGUCAGUCAGUGUGCAGUCCCUCUGUGGGAGGCGCUGUUGCCCGAGGACAUGGUGCCCCGACUGCAGUGCACACAGAUGAUGGAGUUAUGCUGCAAAGGGCCCUUGCUGUGCUGCUGUGCCUGGGAGGGGCCCAGCAUGAGUCUGGCCAAGAGCAGCACUCCGCAGAUCUUGGCCAGAGAGAGGCAGACACACGCCCAGUGAAGCACACACCUCAGUCAUCCUGUGCACACAUGGAAGCAACACACUCAUGCACAUGGAGGAUCCCAUGGUAUCUGACAAGACACAGAAGAUUACAGAGUGAGGGUGCAGGGUGGGGGUCAGGACCAGAGAAAUGGGUGCUGGGCCCUGCCUCACAUGUGGCUUUUCCCGUCUCCAUCACUCAGGGCCAGUCGCUGUGGUAGGCACGCCGUCAGCUGGGUGUUUCCGGUUCCUGGGUCCUGGAGCAGCUUAGGAGGGCUGCAAGCCUGUGUCCCCCCGAUGAGCUCCAGGCCUGUGGAGUGCGCAGGAUGGUUAAAGUUUGGAACGAGUCACAGUACAUUAGGGAAAUGAGGUGGAGGAGGCCUACUGUGAGAGCCCCGUGUCAGAAAGCAAAGUGUAUGAUGGUCAGGUCAUGGGAGUGAGCAUUUCCAUUUCCUUGUGGAGGCUUUGAAAAGAGGAUGAUCUGAAGAUGCUAUGGAGAUUGCUAGAAGGGCCCUUGCUGUGCUGCUGUGCCUGGGAGGGGCCCAACAUGAGUCUGGCCAAGAGCAGCACUCCGCAGAUGUUGGCCAGAGAGAGGCAGACACACGCCCAGUGAAGCACACACCUCAGUCAUCCUGUGCACACAUGGAAGCAACACACUCAUGCA